rnacentral:hammerhead_ribozyme from 1 species
GCACUGCUGAGCAGUCCCAAAUAGGACGAAACAGCGUCCAGUGU